CCUACGGGAGGCAGCAGUGAGGAAUAUUGGUCAAUGGACGAAAGUCUGAACCAGCCAAGUAGCGUGAAGGAUGACUGCCCUAUGGGUUGUAAACUUCUUUUAUACGGGAAUAAAACGAGGCACGUGUGCCUUUUUGCAUGUACUUUAUGAAUAAGGAUCGGCUAACUCCGUGCCCGCAGCCGCGGUAAUACGGAGGAUCCGAGCGUUAUCCGGAUUUAUUGUGUUUAAAGGGAGCGUAGAUGGGGUGUUAAGUCAGUUGUGAAAGUUCGGGGCUCAACCGUAAAAUUGCAAUUGAUACUGGCAGUCUUGAGUACAGUUGAGGUAGGCGGAAUUCGUGGUGUAGCGGUGAAAUGCUUAGAUAUCACGAAGAACCCCGAUUGCGAAGGCAGCUUACUAAACUGUGACUGACAUUGAUGCUCGAAAGUGUGGGUAUCAAACAGGAUUAGAUACCCGUGUAGUC
rnacentral:rRNA from 1 species